GCAAACGGGUUAGUAACACGUAGAAAUCUACUCUUGACUCGAGAAUAACUUCGCGAAAGCGAAGCUAAUACUCGAUGGUCCCCAACCUAGUUGGGGUAAAGGUUUUUCCGGUCAAGAAGGAGUCUGCGGCCUAUCAGCUUGUUGGUAAGGUAAUGGCUUACCAAGGCGAUGACGGGUAGGGGACGUGAGAGCGUGACCCCCAACAGAGGCACUGAGACACGGGCCUCACUCC
rnacentral:rRNA from 1 species